GAUGAACGCUGGCGGCGUGCCUAAUACAUGCCAGUCGAGCGAACAGACGAGGAGCUUGCUCCUCUGACGUUAGCGGCGGACGGGUGAGUAACACGUGGAUAACCUACCUAUAAGACUGGGAUAACUUCGGGAAACCGGAGCUAAUACCGGAUAAUAUAUUGAACCGCAUGGUUCAAUAGUGAAAGACGGUUUUGCUGUCACUUAUAGAUGGAUCCGCGCCGCAUUAGCUAGUUGGUAAGGUAACGGCUUACCAAGGCAACGAUGCGUAGCCGACCUGAGAGGGUGAUCGGCCACACUGGAUCUGAGACACGGUCCAGACUCCUACGGGAGGCAGCAGUAGGGAAUCUUCCGCAAUGGGCGAAAGCUUGACGGAGCAACGCCGCGUGAGUGAUGAAGGUCUUCGGAUCGUAAAACUCUGUUAUUAGGGAAGAACAAAUGUGUAAGUAACUAUGCACGUCUUGACGGUACCUAAUCAGAAAGCCACGGCUAACUACGUG
rnacentral:rRNA from 1 species